rnacentral:tRNA from 1 species
GGGGUUGUGGCUCAGAGGUAGAGUGCUCGCCUAGCAUGUGUGAGGCACUGGGUUCGAUCCUCAGCACCA